GAAUUACAAUAGAGUGCUCGCAAGAGGCUCGUAAACACUUUUUACACACACCGUGAACUUGUCUUAUUCUUAGGGAAAUGACUUUAAGGCCUUUGGGCUUUCUGGUCGGCUCUUUGGGAGUUUUAACACUUGUCUUUGAACCUAGUCUGAUGGAAUGUAGUUGAAAUUGAUUAAAAUUGAAAGUAUAACUUUCAGCAACGGAUUUCUUGGCUCU
rnacentral:misc_RNA from 1 species